rnacentral:sRNA from 1 species
CUCUGUCCCACUCCGUCGUGUUCCUCAGCCGUUCUUCCUCCUCUGCCGCAAUACG